rnacentral:rRNA from 1 species
AGAGUUUGAUCCUGGCUCAGGAUCAACGCUGGCGGCGUGCCUAAUGCAUGCAAGUCGAGCGCGGGCCCCUUCGGGGGUGCUGCGCGGCGGACGGGUGCGUAACACGUGGGCAACCUGCCCUGGGGUGGGGGAUAGCCGUGGGAAACCGCGGGUAAUUCCGCAUACGUUGCUUCUCCGAACGGGAGGAGCAAGAAAGGCGCUUCGGCGUCGCCCUUGGAGGGGCCUGCGGCCGAUUAGCUAGACGGUGGGGUGACGGCCUACCGUGGCGAUGAUCGGUAGCUGGUCUGAGAGGACGGCCAGCCACACGGGGACUGCGACACGGCCCCGACUCCUACGGGAGGCAGCAGCAAGGAAUCUUCCGCAAUGGGGGCAACCCUGACGGAGCAACGCCGCGUGGGGGAUGACGCCCUUCGGGGUGUAAACCCCUUUUCUUCGGGAAGAAGGGCUUCGGCCUUGACGGUACCGGAGGAAGAAGGACCGGCUAACUACGUGCCAGCAGCCGCGGUAAUACGUAGGGUCCAAGCGUUGUCCGGAGUUACUGGGCGUAAAGCGCGCGUAGGCGGCGGUGCUGGCCCGGCGUGAAAGCCCCCGGCUCAACCGGGGAGGGUCGUCGGGGACCGCACCGCUUGAGGGCGGUAGGGGCUGGUGGAAUGCCUGGUGUAGUGGUGAAAUGCGUAGAGAUCAGGCGGAACACCCGUGGCGAAGGCGGCCAGCUGGGCCGUCCCUGACGCUGAGGCGCGAAGGCGUGGGGAGCGAACGGGAUUAGAUACCCCCGUAGUCC